rnacentral:lncRNA from 1 species
CGAAGGUAAUUUUAUUUUUAUUUUUUAAGAUAAAAAAAUUAUAAAAUAAUAAUAAAAGAAAUCAGAAAUGGAAGUGAUGGAAAGAAAACUACAUCUUGAAUAAUUUGAAAUCAUUAAUUGGAAAUAGAAAAGAUUUGAAAUUCAAAAAUAGAUUAAUUGAUGUAAUUAUGGAGAGAUUUGGCGUGGCAAAAGGAAGGAAAAUCAUGGGUAUGAGAUUUCAAAUUAAUGUAUCCGGAAAAGGGGAUGAUGGGAGGAAAAAACGAGAUUUUUGAUAUUUUUUGAAAUGGCAGGGAAAAUAAGAAAAUAUGAUAAUAAAUGGUGUGUAGUUAAGUAAUUUUUCC